UUGACCUCGGAUCAGGUAGGAGUUACCCGCUGAACUUAAGCAUAUCAAUAAGCGGAGGAAAAGAAACCAACCGGGAUUGCCUCAGUAACGGCGAGUGAAGCGGCAAGAGCUCAAAUUUGAAAUCUGGCCCCCUCGGGGUCCGAGUUGUAAUUUGCAGAGGAUGCUUCGGGUGCGGUCCCCAUCUAAGUGCCCUGGAACGGGCCGUCAUAG
rnacentral:rRNA from 1 species